rnacentral:tRNA from 1 species
GCGCCCGUAGCUCAGUCCGGAUAGAGCACUUCCCUCCUAAGGAAGGGGUCGACCGUUCAAAUCGGUCCGGGCGCGCCA